GAGUUUGAUCGUGGCUCAGGAUGAACGCUAGCGACAGGCCUAACACAUGCAAGUCGAGGGGCAGCGGGGAGUGGCAACACUCCGCCGGCGACCGGCGCACGGGUGAGUAACGCGUAUGCAACCUGCCCGCACCAGGGGGAUAACCGGGAGAAAUCCCGUCUAAUACCGCGUAACGCCUUAAGGGGGCAUCCCCAUGAGGCCAAAGGGUUUCCGGGAGCGGAUGGGCAUGCGUGACAUUAGCUAGUUGGCGGGGUAACGCCCACCAAGGCGACGAUGUCUAGGGGUUCUGAGAGGAAGGUCCCCCAAUUGGUACUGAGACACGGACCAAACUCCUACGGGA
rnacentral:rRNA from 1 species